AUCGCUUCUCGGCCUCUUGGCUGAGGUAAAGUGUAGUAUCUGUUCUUAUCAGUUUAAUAUCUGAUACGUCCCCUACCCGGGGACUACAUAUUAAAUUAAAUUGAUUUUUGGAUCACGGAGCUGGAGCCGGGGCUUGCUCUGUCCACUCCACGCAUCGGCCUGGUAUUGCAGUGUGUCCAGGAACGGUGUGCUUCCC